rnacentral:lncRNA from 1 species
CUUAGUGUAGGCACAUACAAAAUGUGAGGGGGUUAAACACCAACCCUCCCCUACCUGUGACAGAAGUUUAACAGUGCAACCAUAAAGGCAACAGUAGUAUACCGCUGUUCAAAACUCAUAAAUCCAUGGACAAAAAACAAAAUCGGGGUAACAAACUAAAACUAAAACUGAGGGAAACGCAUUAAAUAUAAGAGGAGAACAACCGACACAACAUUAAAAUGUAACACACACAGAAACGGACUAAUCAUUAGACAAAAUCCUAUGAGAAUAACAAAUAUAACAUCAAAACCAAAUACAGGAAUUUGGGAUAGAUAAGUACCGUGACACGUCUUAUAGUAAUGUGAAUUCACACUCAAAAAUAAGAGAAAACAAACGAUACAACGGA